GACUGAUGUUGAGAUAGAUGAG
rnacentral:siRNA from 1 species